GACUCCCCUCUUCCUCCUCUUGGUUCAGCCGCAAGCAAGGAGAGCAAAGGUCCAAGGUGUUGGUGGCCUCCUCCUCCUCCUUUCCUCCUUCCAACGCAGGGAAAAGAAAGAAGGCUGCAGGGGCUUUGAUCCUUCUCUGAUCUUCAUCCUUCUUCUUCCUCCUCCCAAGCACAAUCAAGGGUUGAUUCAAAGGGAGGACAUCAGCCAUUAAAAGAAGUCUCUGCAAGGGAGCUAGCACCCCGGGGAGACAAGGAAACCUUGAUCGGUCCUCUACUUCGUGUGGAUAUCCGUAGAGGCCGGACACGUGAACGGCUUCAAAC
rnacentral:lncRNA from 1 species